GAUGAACGCUGGCGGCGUGCCUAAUACAUGCAAGUCGAGCGAACAGAUAAGGAGCUUGCUCCUUUGACGUUAGCGGCGGACGGGUGAGUAACACGUGGGUAACCUACCUAUAAGACUGGGAUAACUUCGGGAAACCGGAGCUAAUACCGGAUAACAUUUGGAACCGCAUGGUUCUAAAGUGAAAGAUGGUUUUGCUAUCACUUAUAGAUGGACCCGCGCCGUAUUAGCUAGUUGGUAAGGUAACGGCUUACCAAGGCGACGAUACGUAGCCGACCUGAGAGGGGGAUCGGCAACACUAGAACUGAGACAGGGACCAGACUCCUGCGGGAGGCACAAGAAGGAGUUCUUCGGAAGGGGGGGGAGGCCUGACGGACCAGCCCGGCGGGAGUAGUAAAGGUUUCGGGCUCUAAAAACUUGUUUAUGGGGGAAAAAAAAAUGUUUAAGUAGCUGUGCAGUUCUUGAGGGAACUUAAUAAAAAAGCCAGGGCUAAUUACGGG
rnacentral:rRNA from 1 species